rnacentral:misc_RNA from 1 species
UACAGAGGGGGCAAGCGUUGUUCGGAAUCACUGGGCGUAAAGGGCGCGUAGGCAGCCUUCUAAGUCGAACGUGAAAUCCCCGGGCUCAACCCGGGAACUGCGUCCGAGACUGGAAGGCUUGAAUCCGGGAGAGGGAUGUGGAAUUCCAGGUGUAGCGGUGAAAUGCGUAGAUAUCUGGAGGAACACCGGUGGCGAAGGCGGCAUCCUGGACCGGCAUUGACGCUGAGGCGCGAAAGCCAGGGGAGCAAACGGG